rnacentral:lncRNA from 1 species
GUGAGAGUAAAAAACUUUCCAGUGUUUAAGAAUACAUUCCAAAGGAAUGAGAGGUUGAGAUACGGAGUGUCCUAUCGCAAACAAGAGAAAGGAACUGGCAUUCCUGGUGAGAGCUACUUGAUUCAUAAAUCCUCACAGUGUCCUCAAGGUGACUCAUUGAAGAGCAGGUGGCUGCCAUCUGGAGGAAAAUGGAAGAUUACGGACCAGCCACAUGUAAUGGCUCAACAGCGCCAUCUUCACCAGGAAGCUCAUGUUUCUACCCCACUAGGAGUCUAUCUUACUAGUAAAGAGAGAGCAGUCCAAACCUGUAGCUCAACUCUUAACAGAAGCUUAAGAAAGGACUGUGAUGACAUCAUCUCAGAUCGCUCUGAGACAGAGGACAUCUGAUGACCACUGACCGACCCCUUUCGCCUCACUGAGGAGUGCUGUUUCCACUAGUUCCACUCAACCAGAGACCUGCCUCUGAAAGGAACCCAGCUGCCUAUCUGUGCAGAGGGCUGUGAAGAGUGAACUCCAAAACUGGUUCUUUAUAGAAGUGAAUCUGGCUGAAGCCUACUGCUGAGGUCAGGGUAACUCACACCCAAAUUUUGUUCUCACAACUAAAACCUCUGACUAGCAGGACAGUGUUCUAAUUACAACCAUAUAUUUUGUCUAUUCUGUUCCUAAUUUGAGAAUGCUUUGUCUUGUCCUUUUUGAGCCUUGUUUACAUUAAUUUCCACAGAAACCACAUGUCACCUUUACCCCCAUUAAUCAUCAAUAAAAGUCAGUGCCUUGGACUGUACAGCACCUUUGUGGAUUACGCCAGCAUCGGUAGUCCUAGCACCCCGCAUUC